rnacentral:rRNA from 1 species
UGGGGAAUAUUGCACAAUGGGCGGAAGCCUGAUGCAGCAACGCCGCGUGCGGGAUGACGGCCUUCCGGUUGUAAACCGCUUUCGCCUGUGACGAAGCGUGAGUGACGGUAAUGGGUAAAGAAGCACCGGCUAACUNCNUG